UACGAAGGGUGCUAGCGUUGUUCGGAAUUACUGGGCGUAAAGCGCGCGUAGGCGGCUUUGCAAGCCAGAGGUGAAAUGCCUGAGCUUAACUUGGGAAUUGCCUUUGGGACUGCGAGGCUUCGAGGACGGGAGAGGUGAGUGGAAUUCCCAGUGUAGAGGUGAAAUUCGUAGAUAUUGGGAAGAACACCGGUGGCGAAGGCGGCUCACUGGCCCGUUUCUGACGCUCAAGCGCGAAAGCGUGGGGAUCAAACAGG
rnacentral:rRNA from 1 species